CAAGUGUCGUUCUCCCUGCUGACAGCAAAGUCACAGCCCUGGUACCUUCUGAAUCGGCCGUCCGGAGGUUGAGCCCCGAGGACCAGGCCUUCUGGCUGCAGCCAAAGAUGCUGCCCGAACUGGUCAGGGCCCAUUUUCUCCAGGGUGCCUUCUCAGAGGAGGAGUUAGCCCGGUUAAGUGGACAACAAGUAGCCACACUGAGCCCCACGACACGCUGGCAGAUACAUAACAUCAGUGGGAAAAUCUGGGUGCAGAAUGUCAGUGUGGAUGUAACCGACCUCCUUGCUACCAAUGGCGUCCUACACAUCAUUAGCCAGGUAUAGCAGGAGAAGGGAGUGCGGGG